UCGACACGUUUACGUUGUGGUUCCUUUGCAC
rnacentral:piRNA from 1 species